rnacentral:lncRNA from 1 species
CUCGCUUCUGGCUGUCCCUGGUGACUUCUGCUGCUAAAAAAGCUACUCAUUGUCGGAGACUGAAGAGGGAUUUCAAACCUGCUUCUUGUGGCCGGGCAACGGCUCUUAAUUAACCACUCAGGUAUUGUGGAAGCUCCCAGCCCAGCUCACUUCCAUAUGGCUGGGACAUGUCCGCAGUGAUAAUCAUGGAAGGAAAUAUUGUAUCAAAAAAGAGCUCACACAACCGAAAGCUUGUGCAAAUUAUUUUUAAUGAUUCUUCUCU